rnacentral:hammerhead_ribozyme from 1 species
GUACUUCUGAAGAGUCCCAAAUUAGGACGAAACAGCUGUCCAGUAC